GAUGAACGCUGGCGGCGUGCCUAAUACAUGCAAGUCGAGCGAACGGACGAGAAGCUUGCUUCUCUGAUGUUAGCGGCGGACGGGUGAGUAACACGUGGAUAACCUACCUAUAAGACUGGGAUAACUUCGGGAAACCGGAGCUAAUACCGGAUAAUAUUUUGAACCGCAUGGUUCAAAAGUGAAAGACGGUCUUGCUGUCACUUAUAGAUGGAUCCGCGCUGCAUUAGCUAGUUGGUAAGGUAACGGCUUACAAAGGCAACGAUGCGUAGCCGACCUGAGAGGGUGAUCGGCCACACUGGAACUGAGACACGGUCCAGACUCCUACGGGAGGCAGCAGUAGGGAAUCUUCCGCAAUGGGCGAAAGCUUGACGGAGCAACGCCGCGUGAGUGAUGAAGGUCUUCGGAUCGUAAAACUCUGUUAUUAGGGAAGAACAAAUGUGUAAGUAACUAUGCACGUCUUGUCGGUACCUAAUCAGAAAGCCACGGCUAACUACGUG
rnacentral:rRNA from 1 species